CACGUAGUUAGCCGGUGCUUCUUAUCCAGGUACCGUCACCCGAAGGCUUCUUCCCUAGCGAAAGAGGUUUACUAACCCGAAGGCCGUCAUCCCUCACGCGGCGUCGCUGCAUCAGGCUUCCGCCCAUUGUGCAAUAUUCCCCACUGCUGCCUCCCGUAGGAGUCUGGGCCGUGUCUCAGUCCCAAUGUGGCCGUCCACCCUCUCAGGCCGGCUACCCGUCGUCGCCUUGGUAGGCCAUUACCCCACAACAAGCUGAUAGGCCGCGGGCUCAUCCUCCACCGAAAAAACUUUCCACCAACCACACUAAAGAUUGGUCCUAUCCGGUAUUAGACCCAGUUUCCCAGGCUUAUCCCGAAGUGAAGGGCAGAUCACCCACGUGUUACUCACCCGUUCGCCACUCGAGUACCCCUGCAAGCAGGGGCCUUUCCGUUCGACUUGCAUGUGUUAAGCACGCCGCAGCGUUCGUCCUGAGCACGGAUCAAACUCUA
rnacentral:rRNA from 1 species